UUGUGAGGUAGCCCUUUGUGUUGACUCCAGCCAUACAAAUACACUUGAUCUCUAUCAGAAAGUACAACAAUGAGCUAAAGAACAACUACCAACUUGAAGGAGCAAGAAAUCUUUAUUAAGCUUCUUCAUUGUGAUAGUUGUUUGGAAGUGGGGGCCUAAAUGUUUUUUGGUGCACACAGGACCAAUGCAUAAUCAUGUCUGGAGCUCGAAAUUUUUCAUGUCAUAGGGAAUUUUAAACUAGAAAUGCAGUGGAAGUUAUGCAUGCUCAAUAGAAACAAGGAGCAAGAAAUUAG
rnacentral:lncRNA from 1 species